rnacentral:rRNA from 1 species
ACGAACGCUGGCGGCAUGCCUAACACAUGCCAGUCGAACGAGACCUUCGGGUCUAGUGGCGCACGGGUGCGUAACGCGUGGGAACCUGCCCUUAGGUUCGGAAUAACUCCCCGAAAGGGGUGCUAAUACCGGAUAAUGUCUUCGGACCAAAGAUUUAUCGCCUUUGGAUGGGCCCGCGUUGGAUUAGCUAGUUGGUAGGGUAAAAGCCUACCAAGGCGACGAUCCAUAGCUGGUCUGAGAGGAUGAUCAGCCACACUGGGACUGGGACACGGCCCAGACUCCUACGGGAGGCAGCAGUGGGGAAUAUUGGACAAUGGGCGAAAGCCUGAUCCAGCAAUGCCGCGUGAGUGAUGAAGGCCUUAGGGUUGUAAAGCUCUUUUACCCGGGAUGAUAAUGACAGUACCGGGAGAAUAAGCUCCGGCUAACUCCGUG